CCUACGGGUGGCAGCAGUGGGGAAUAUUGGUCAAUGGGCGAGAGCCUGAUCCAGCCACGUCGCGUGAGGGAAGAAUGCCCUAUGGGUUUUAAACCUCUUUUGUAGGGGAGCAAAAGCCGGACAUCUCCGUCUGAGACAGUGCCCGACGACAAGGCAUCGGCAACCACGGUACGAGCGGCCGCGGUAAUACGCGGGAUGCGAGCGUUAUCAGGUUUUGUUGGGUGAAAAGGGUGCGCAGGGGGAUGUUUAGGUCCUCGGUAAAUGCGGGGGUCUAAACCCCAUCCAGCCGUUGAAACUGGGGUGCUAGAGUGUUCGAGAGGUAUGCGGAAUGCGUGGUGUAGCGGUGAAAUGCAUAGAUAUCACGCAGAACCCCGAUUGCGAAGGCAGCAUACCGGUGAAUAACUGACGUUCAGGCACGAAAGCGUGGGUAGCGAACAGGAUUAGAUACCCCUGUAGUC
rnacentral:rRNA from 1 species